rnacentral:rRNA from 1 species
UGCAAAGGUAGCAUAAUCAUUAGUCUCUUAAUUAGUGACUUGUAUGAAAGAUUGGAUGAGAUAUGAACUGUCUUAAUUAUAUUUAUUAGAAAUUAAUUUUUUAAUUAAAAAGUUAAAAUAAUUUAAAAAGACGAGAAGACCCUAUAGAGUUUUAUUUUUAUUAGAAUUUUAAUUAUUUAUAAAAUUUAUUAAUUAUUAAUUUACAUGAAAAUUUUAUUGGGGUGAUAAAAAAAUAAAAAUAACUUUUUUUUUUAUUAGACAUAAAUAACUGAAUUUUUGAUCCAGUUUUAUUGAUUAAAAGAAAAAAUUACCUUAGGGAUAACAGCGUAAUUUUUUUUUUUUAGUCCCUAUAAGAAAAAAAGUUUGCGACCUCGAU